rnacentral:rRNA from 1 species
AUUAGUUUUUUAAUUGAAGGCUUGAAUGAAUGGUUGGACAAGAAAUAAUCUGUCUUAAAUUAAGAUAUUGAAUUUAACUUUAAAGUGAAAAGGCUUUAAUGAUCUAAUGGGACGAUAAGACCCUAUAAAACUUUAUAUUUUAAGGUAGAAAUUAAUUUUAUUUUAAGGUUACUAUUUUAAAAUGUUUUGUUGGGGCGACAAGGAUAUAAGAAGUGAUAACUGUCUUUUAUUUUUACAAUAAUAUUUGAUUUAUUGAUCCUGAAAGGGCUCAGAGAUUAAGUUACUUUAGGGAUAACAGCGUAAUUUUCUUUGAGAGUUCUUAUCGACAAGAAAGCUUGCGACCUCGAUGUUGAAUUAAAGGUUCUUUAUAGAGUAGAGACUAUAAAAGAAGGUCUGUUCGACCUUUAAAAUUUUACAUGAUUUGAGUUCAGACCGG